rnacentral:tRNA from 1 species
AAAUAAGAAGUAAAAUUUUACAUUUAGUUUCGACCUAAAAAUUUGGCAUUUAAGCCCUUAUUUA